rnacentral:lncRNA from 1 species
UACAAGUAUCCACUCAGGAUUAGUCUGAAAUAGUUCUCUAUAAUCUAAAUUUUGGUUCUCUCAAAAUUCAGCCUAUUGAAUCUGAACGAAGUUUGGAUCGCGAUCAACGCUUGAUUUUUCUCCUCGAUCUUCUUCUUCUCCUCUUCUCUAGAGUUUUUCCUUGCUUUGUGCUGCUACAAAACACCAGCAACCAGUAACUUAUGGGACGCCCAACACCUUGGGCGUGGAACUCCUUGAGACUCUCAUCUCAAAGGAUGGGCGUGUAGAACGCCCAAGAGAAAAGAAAGGGAGAGGAAGAG